rnacentral:rRNA from 1 species
CGCCUCUUGCAACUGCAUAAGAGGUCCAGCCUGCCCAGUGACUAAGUUCAACGGCCGCGGUAUCCUAACCGUGCGAAGGUAGCGUAAUCACUUGUUCUUUAAAUGAGGACUAGUAUGAAUGGCACCACGAGGGUUAUGCUGUCUCCUUUUUCUAAUCAAUGAAACUGAUCUCCCCGUGAAGAAGCGGGGAUAUACCUAUAAGACGAGAAGACCCUAUGGAGCUUUAAACCAUGUAACACUGGCUUACACAUUAAAAUAUUCCAGAAUUUUCAUAAUUACUCUAGCCACAAUGAUUACUAGUUUUAGGUUGGGGUGACCACGGAGCAAAGAUUAACCUCCAUGUUGAACGGAGCUACUCCUGAACCAAAAGCCACGACUUUAAGCACUAAUAAAUUAACAUUAAUUGACCCAAUAUUUUUGAUCAACGAACCAAGUUACCCUAGGGAUAACAGCGCA